rnacentral:sRNA from 1 species
ACUACAUGAUGAAAUUAACAAAUUAGGAACUUAAGUUUAUAAUGUCAAAACAUUCUUCAGUAUGCUUUUUUGAAUUAUCAAUUCUAAGGUUUUGAUUGAGGCUUAAAACAUGUGUGUGUGUCUGUGUGUGUGCCUCUGUGUGUGUGCCCAAAUACAUAUAUAAACACAGUUUCCACACAUUUUCUAACAUGUCUGGGCCUAGAGCACUCCUUGGAGGUAGUG